CCUGGAGAAAAAGAGCCGAUUCCACUGUGUUAGACAAAUAAACACAGAUCUCUGUGCUCACUGGGUUUGGAAGGCAGUGACCGAUGGCAGUUUAACAGGUCACCGGGCCCCUGCAGCUACCAUCUGCUACUGCAACCUGGGGUCCCCGGAGAGAGCCGCGGAGGAAUGCGAACCGGAACGAUGCGUAUCUGAUCCAUCCGCUCAAGGGAAGAGGAGCUUGCCCUUGUGGCCUCAGUACAGUGCAGCAGCAAGAAUGCCUCACGCCUGGUUUUAAUAAGAGACAAUCCUCUCAGCCCUGAACAUUGCAGCCGGGUCCCACAGAGAUGCACACAGCGAUGAACACGCUGAGAGAAUGAAAACUCCAGCUUUCUUUAAAAACAAAGGUUCCAGCUGCUCGGCUGGAGGAAAGUGGAAUCGCUCCCUGAAGUCGAUGGAGCUGCACCAAUUCACACCAGCUGAGACUCAGGCCUGCAGCAGAGUGUGAUGGAAUGGCAUCCAGCAACCAGGUUUUCAGUGGAAUUGGAAAGGCUGUUCUUUGGCUCCCUCAGCCACAUUCUCAUAUUUCCUUAUCCAAAAUAAACUCUUUGGAGACUGUUAUGGAUGGGUGAGAUUUGAGGGUGGCUUGAAGGCAGAUAAGCUGUAGGCACACUUAACAGGAGACCUGAAUGUCAGUGAGGCAGGCCAGGAGGAAGAGACAGGAGCCGCUGCCAAGUCCUCAAGUCUCAAGGAAUUUUAGCAACUCUCAGAAUCAGGCCCAGGAAAUACAACUUACAAACUGUGUGCUGUGCUUUCUCUCUCCUGUUGGAAUGGGGCUGAUUUCCACACAGAGACACCAGCCUGCAAGAGCCCUACACGCAGAUUAGUUCUUAUCUCUGGCAUGCAGCACUGUAGGCACAAGCUCUGUGAUGGAGUGGGGGCUGAGGUGGUCCAGGAGUGUUCUUGCUGGGGGAAGAAAAUUUAUUUGAAGAGUGAUUGGAAGACACAGAGUGUCCUGGCAGAGAGGCUCUGAAAAAACCAUCAAACCAGAAAGUUUUCUGCUGAAAAGCAACUCCCAGAGCCCUGGGAAGAAAAGGCAGGCGGGCGAUGAAGCAAGGAAUAAGCCAAUGCCAUCAGGGGGCAGGAAGUAUGAUCAGAGGAAAAUAUUUGACUGUUUGACCACUCUUGAUAAUCCGCUGACAGACUGGGCAUAGAGGCGAUACCCUUCCUUUGGCCUCACCAUGCCACUCCGCCCUGGCUGGUACUGCCCCAUGCUUUGCUGCUCUGCCUGUCCACCCCCAUACAUACACACCCAAUACUGCUCUGUAUCCAACUAGCCUCUGUACAUGAAGUGCUGCUCGGUGUUCACCCUGUCAUAGUUGAUCCAUACAACAAACUGCUUGGUACUACAUUGUAUUGCAGAAGCAUCCAGGAUCCCAGACAUAGACCAAGACCCCAUUAUGCUAGGUGCUGUACAAACACAGAACAAAAAGAGGGUCCCUAUGUAGUCAGCAGGCAUCUAUCCUUUGGGGGCUCCUAAAUGCAUCAUGGCUCUGUAGCUCUCCACAAGACAGACUUUCAAUGUUUGUCCGUCCUGUGGGGCAUGCAUUCAUCACUGAGCUGGUCUGGAUCCAGCUGCUGAAUGUGUACGCAAUGUUCUGCACCUGCUCUUCUGCGCAGAAGGCAUGCACCCCCCGUGUAUGGUCCUUCAAAAGGAGAAUUUCUAGCUUCCUAGAAAGAGACAUGUGAAACAGCUUUGCUCUGUCCCCACAGAACACAGCUACCUCAUCCAGAUAGGACAGGAAAGUGUGUCCUAUCAAUGGAUGAGCUAAAGCUCUACAAGAUGCACACCAGAGAGCAAUCCCACAUUGACAUGGGAGAAGCUAGAAAUCUCAGCCGUUUCCUCCAUCACAUUGGCCAAUUACCAACCCAGCAUCUCAAGCUUGCCCACCAACCCCUCCCCAAGCCCCAUUCUUACCCCCACCAACCUCCCCCCCAACCCCAGUCCCAGGACCAUCCACCCAACACCAUGGCUUCUUGCGAUAAACUCAACCUCAUAGUCCUUUGUGGCUGCAAAAGGUCUAUGAGGCUGGGUGAAUCCUGGCACACAGGGGUGAUUUUUGGGUUCUGGGUAGGGAAAACUGAGAACUUGGGGACUACAUGGCCACAUCCAAUGCUCUACGGCUUUCAUUAUUUGUCUUUGCAUCUAUUUCCAUGUUUGUAUUUCACAAGGUUGCAAGAUGGAGUUGGC